rnacentral:misc_RNA from 1 species
AGGAAGUGGGUGAAAAUUUAGGUUGCGCCACAUUGCACGUUCUUUAGGUGGAUUCAAGACACCUGAUUGUCAAGGACUCUCACUGCCUUCUUUUUGUCUUCUUUGUGUCUUCUUCUAUCGGCUCUACACUGUAUUCUCCGUUUCCUUGUGUUUUGUUUGCCUCCUCCUACAUUCCUAUCUCCAUAGACAAAAAGCAGAGAGAUAGAGAGAUGGCUAAGGGUAAUGUUGUUUGUGAAGU